rnacentral:rRNA from 1 species
AAGUCGUAACAAGGUUUCCGUAGGUGAACCUGCGGAAGGAUCAUUACCAAGAGAAAUCUUUCAACACUGAAAGAUCUUUUCCUUUGUGCUGGCUUUGACCGUAUGUAAUUUUGGGACUUUAAAAUGGUUCGCAAGGGCCGGUCCCAAAAACAAUAUAUCAUCCUUAUGAAAUUUUUUCUGAACAAUUAAACAAAUGAUUUUAAUAAUCUGUUUAAAACAACUUUCAACAACGGAUCUCUUGGUUCUCGCAUCGAUGAAGAACGCAGCGAAAUGCGAUACGUAAUGUGAAUUGCAGAAUUCAGUGAAUCAUCGGAUCUUUGAACGCACAUUGCACUCCUUGGUAUUCCGAGGAGUAUGCCUGUUUCAGUAUCAUGAGCACUCUCACACCUAACCUUUGGGUUUAUGGCGUGGAAUUGGAAUGCGCCGACUGUCAUGGUUGGCCCUUCUAAAAUGUAGUUCUUGGCUGUCACCUAAUACAGCAGUUUGGCCUAAUAGUUUUGGCAUUCAUUGUCAAAUCUUUGGCUAACAUUUGCUCCAGGGGUCAGUCUUGAUAAUACAGAAAACUCAUUCAAAUUUUGAUCUGAAAUCAGGUAGGGCUACCCGCUGAACUUAA